GUAAAAACCCGUGCAUAUAGCUUACCGAAAACUGUUGUUGUUAUUAAAAUAUAAAUAUACUAUGGACCUGAAUGCGUUUUUAUCCGAUCAUCAGAGUCAGUACACACUCUCCAACGUGCCUUCGGGCUAUGCUUUGUGGGCUUGAUUCUUCUUGGUAUCUACUACCUGUACAAAAUGUGCGUAGACCGGUCUAAAGCUGAAUCUCAAAAUGCGAACAAGUCUGUGACCUCAGACCGAAUGUUCAUGAGACCUGUCUAUGCGCAUGAAAUAGAACCAGGCAUAGUUGUGCUGCAAAGCGAAAACGGUGAUUACUUCAAGAUUUUGAAGGAAUACGAUAUGAAACAAGGAAAUCAGUAUGGAUCACUCUCUCGUUCAGCAACGGAAAUGACAUCACAUGAUGUUAACAUAGGAACAUUCGGCGAAAAUGGUAGUUUCCAAGCGUUUGAGCCAUCAAGAUCACGUGAUCUUGCUCAAGCAAGCGCCCCUCCGAGAUCGCGCAUCAUGGCGGACGAGAGUGAGGAAUUGUUGUUCGAAAGGAACCGUGAUGCUGGUUUUCGACCGGUGCAGUUCAGUUACGGAAGUGAUGGAAUGCCACCUCCUUAUGGUGCGAACUAAAUCGGAACUAACGAAUAAAAAUGAAAGGAAGGAGUCGUGUGUAAUACUGGACGUUUUAAUUUGAUUUUACUGAAAAAUCUUAUUUAAACCACAAUAUUAUGAUCGUGUUGAAUAUUGUAUUCCUAUUUGUCAUAAAAGUUGACAUAGGAGCCGUAUCAUGGACCUUUAUCAUAUUUGGUCAGCUUAGCUCCAGACCAGCCUCCUCACUCGCGCGGUAUCAAUCUCCAGUCAGAGUUGUCUUUCCUUGCUCUCCAUACAAUCUCUGCAAUUACAAGAAAAUCCUACCAGAUUUGGUAGGGUUGUUUUGGGUUUAAGUAUUAUAUUAUAAAAUGAAGUAUCGUUUUCUUUUCUGUUUUGAAAAAUAGUGUAUAAGUUAAGGUUUAUUAUAAAAAUUAAAUUACCUUAAUUAUAAAAAGUUAAAAUAACAAAGGUAAAAUUAUUUUACUACGUGACUAGGUUAUCAUCACGUGGUUGGUUGUUAAGGCAGGGAUUUGAUCCAGCUAUGCGGUUGGCUCGGUAUAUUAAUGAGCUAAAGAGACCACGAAACCUUGCAUGGCUUAAUAGCGAGCAGUGUAGCUCCUUAACAAACUUCGAGCAUGUGCUGACUGGCCAGGAGCUACGCUGGCCGCAAAUGGCAUAUGACACAUUUUAGCAUGUUGCGGCUCAUAUAUUUACUUUUAAAACCAAUAUGUGUACAGUAUUGAACACUUUCAGAAUAUGACGCUUUAUAUGUGAUAAUUUUGAAUACUUGGGUUUUUAUUAAAACAUUUUCACGAAUGUUUGCCGUCGAAAGUCGACAAAUGUGAUUCCGGAAUGGUAGUAUUGAAAUGCUUAGAUUAAAGACACAUACAGGGAUUAAAUAAAAUAUAACAAUGACAUCGAACUAUAAACAUGAGUACACCUACGAACAAAUUAGCGCAUAUUAUUAAAUAUUGAUUACUUUCGUUAGUUGAUAUGGUUGAAAGAGAAUAUAAUGAGUACAGCAGAUGUGGUAAAAUACAAACAAUGGAUGUUUUGCAAAUCACAGUAGAGGGUCUAUACGUUUCUCGAAAAGCUUUCCCAUUCAUUAAAUGUUAUCCUUAGAAGAUAUUAAGGUAAAUUUUAUUGAUUAAGCGAACGUAUUCGAAUGUCAGAUUAUUUUAUUUUAAACUACCGGUGCACUUCUUUUGAUUGAUAAAUACACACUGUAUAUACAUAUACAUACCAAUUGUUAUAUAAUCAGAAGAUUCAUAUACCUAAAUAAUUAUUCUAACUUCAUAUUUUAGAAUAUAUAAAGCUUAUUUAGCCAAAGGAAUGACCUGAUGACAUUUAUUAUACAACAUGAACUUUUUUUUAUAUUUGUAACGUUUUGUUUUUAUGGUUCAAUUGAUCGAUGAAACAUUGAUGAAUGCUUUUGACUGGCUUCGAACACAUUGUUGUUGAAUACACAAGUUGUAAUAAAGCCAAUGCAUAAA